rnacentral:rRNA from 1 species
CUAUCUGAUUGGUACGCACCUGCCUGAAACCAUAGAAGUCACGCUCACGACGGUCACGGUAGCCACCGCUGUAUUCAAAGGUAUUCCGGCUUCGUACCGCUCCGUUCUCUUUGUAUCCACCCGUAGUCUCAACAGAUGACAUCACCCAGCGACGUCCCGGCAGGUCGUAACUCGGAGCCGUCUGCUCAUACCCGAUAUGGAUAUGUCCGCCGAAAGGAAGCGUCACGGAGCGCAGCAUGUUCGUUCUGCCCGUAAGGUUGCGGUAGACUAUGAGCCGCCUCCCUCCGUCAGCAACGACGAUAUCUGGAUGUCCGUCACCGUCGAUAUCCCUUAUCGCAGCCUCGGUACAGCUGACGCCGUCAGAAGCAAAUCCUCCUUGAAUGUAAUCUUGCA